UCUGCUCUUCCCAACCCUAAAUGUCACCCAUAUCCCAACCUGCUCUUUCCGUCUUCCCCACCUCAGCCAAAUCCAGGCGUGUGAGUAUCACCUGGGCUCUGAGGAUGACAUCAGCUCCAAAGUCAACAACACUAAGUCACCUGUUCUAACAGCUGACGUUUCACUCCUGGCACAACUGUCGCGAUUUUCCUUUUCCUUCUGAACGAUUCCCAGGACUCCUCUUGCUCGCGGCUGCCCAGCUACCGGCCUUGCAGCAGUAUGGGCGAGUGCCCUCAGUGGCUCUCGUGUGCCAGGCUGAAACGGGCAUCUCGGACCAGAGUUCUUCGAUCCCAAGUAGCUGCUACUAAAGUGUGAUAGUCCUGUAUCCUCAUUAAAAGCUCCUUGGGCCCAGCACUGCUGGGCUGGUGGGGUGUGUGUGGGAUUGAGGUAAGAGGAGAGAAGUAACCCUAUUUUCUCCAUUUUGCAUGAGUACGGACUGCACUUGCCCAGGAUCGGAACACAACUUGCCUUGCCAGGAUAGCCGCUGAGUGGCAGACCUGGGUUUCCAGCCCACGAUUUCCACUCCGAGGAAUGCCCUCCCUCCCUCUGAUGACAGUAACUCACAGGACACCGUGCUCCGAUCCCACCGAUUCCUGGAGGCGAAAGCCCUGGGCCCUCUCCACGGAUUCUGCUAACUCCAGGGACUCAUGCCCGUGCAGCCCACGUGCCUCCCUCUCCUACGCCCCUCGCGUCUCUGUCCCUCCUCUGAAUGGCAGAACUGGAUAAAGUUCUUCCCCACCCCCUAACUAAGAAAUCUACUCACAGCAAGUGUUUUAUGUCAUGUUGGUGAAGAUUUGGUGGGAAUAUAAAUUAGUGCAGCCACUAUGGAAAAUAACAUGGAGAUUCCUCUAAAAAUAAAGAAUGCGUGGCUCAGUGGUUGAGCUUUGAGCCAGGAGAUCACGGUUCGAUUCCUGUUCGGGGCAUAUGCCCAGAUUGCGGGCUCGAUUCCCAGUGUGGGGUGUGCAGGAGGCAAUCAACGAUUCUCUCUCAUCACUGGUAUUUCUCUCUCUC